CUAAUAAGCAACGUUUCUCAACAACUCGAUAUCUGUGAUGUAAAUUUGGAAAUCCUGAAUAAACACCCUGCAACCCUAAAUAUUCAAAAAAAUACAACAACGACAUUUUUAAAGUGUAUCACUUGGUCUGGAAUUUGGUCUUGUGUCGUCCUUAGAGGGGGAAUCUUAAAUAACGUGAUCCACUGACUGCAGCGCCACAAGAGAGUCAAAAGACUUGAUUAUCCACUGAUGUAUCUCAACAUGCUAGAGGAACACACGCAACAUUUAGAACAUACAUGAUGAUUGCAUGAGGAUGUAUCUCCUUGACUUUGGGGCGAAGCCGGGUGCAAAUUGGGUAAAAGGUCUGUCUUUGUUAGAGUUCAACCUUUUUACUGAAAAGUUUCAUCAUAUUUCCUUUGGAUGAAGCAUCAUGGGAUACUCGGGAAAUGGAAACCGCGAGUGUGCUGAGUCAACCCCUCUGCGGUCAUCUUUUCUUCCCUUGACUGGUCCUGAUGCCACUGGCUCAGUGAAGAAAACCAAUCUGAGGGUUUGGAUUCAAACUUUUGCAGAAACAAAGCAGCCCACUCUUUAACCAACGUUUUGUAACCUUUGUCGUCUUUCUCGCCCAGAAAAAGAUCUUUGACUUUUUUCCCUUUUUAUCAUAAGAUUAAUUUCUAGAAAAAAGACACAAAGGUCACGGAGAUCAAGGGGCCGAUGGACCGCGGCCUUCCCCUCAUCCUGAUCCCCCCCCGCCCCCAGAUCUGCCCAGCAGAUGUUACGACACAGAAAAAGGACCCACCCUUGUGAAGUUAAUGGGCCUUUCUGGAUUCCAGGAGCACCCGGCUCAGACAUUCAAACUAUUUCCCCACGGUGUUUUAACCCUCAGGGACGAAUCCUUCCCACCUCAGUCUUCCUUACUGCUGGCUCAGACAACCCAGUGUUAAUCCCAGGGGGAGUUGAAAUCGGCUAGGAACUACACGCCUGAUGCACUUAGAGGCUCCGUGCAGAAAGAGUCAUUUAUGGGUCUCACGCAUGUUUAUACAAGCGUCCCCGCUCCUUUGUGCAGCAUGCACAAACAUAUACAAUGCAUACAUACACAACCGUUCCAUAGCUCAUAAUUUCCCUGGUAAUCUUCCUGCUCGGCGCUCUUUAAUAUACUUUCCAUCUAAAGGGAUCAUCGAGUUUGGAAGCUCUCCAGUGGAAAAUCUGAACACUGCAACCGGUGCCAAAGUGCUCGUUGGCUUUGAUAAACACCACGUCUGGAAAGGGGACUCGCUGAGGAGUGGUGGCUUCUUCUUGUUAAUUCAUUGCUUUAUUAUGUUUGAAAAUCCCCCCCCCACACAAAAAAAAAUCACUGAUCAGGUGAAGAGCGACACGAGGCACAAUUUGGGCAUUCAUGACCGGGCCGUUCCUGCCACUCCUUGGGUUGGCUGUCAUCUCAUGGCUGCCACUUACCACUUCUCUCCGUAAGAUCAUAGAGGCGGGAGCCGUUACCAUGUAAUGGUCUGCAGUGGAAAUCCAGAUGUCUGCCGGUGAAGGCAUACACUUUGGAAAAAAGAUAGAGGAGGAGAGAGUUUUGGAGGUGGUCUACACUCGACGAACACGGGGAGAUGUGAAGAAGUGGGAAAGCCCGUGUGGUUUCCGAGUCCUUUAGCACCUUUCAGCGUCAGAAAUCCCCGCGGGCCGCCUGCUUCAUGCGGCCGAUGACACACUCACAAACCCAGACCGCCAGGCUCUGGGUGAACAGAAAUGUCUGUGCAGACUACAACGGGCUGGCACGGGAUCAGCUCAUCUACUCCACAGGCGAGGCGGACGGUGCACGUUGAGCCGCCGACGGGCGCACAAUGGAGACAAAACCAAGUUCUGCUCCGUGUAACCUUGAUUCAGUCCAGUGCUCCCAUUCAGACCUCGUGUCCGGUGACUGGAACCGAGGGAGAGAGGAGACGGAGGCGUGGAGGGGGGAAUUGGCAUGUCCCAACGUAACGUCCCGGUCAUAAAUGAUCCCGAUGACUGAAGUUACAACUUCUACCCCUGAUAGUUAGAAAGGCAUUAAACAAAGAGUCGCAGUGGCACAUAUUUGGAUAUUUGGCCAUGUCAGCAGUGUAAGAGUAGUCAUGUUAAUGGGUGUUAAUGUUCUGCCGUUUGUCACCAGGACAAAAAAAAAAUUCCUGCACCACUGUGAGUUUGACGUUUGAGGUUUUGAGUGUAACUGUGAACUAAGGAGUACGGAUCAGGUUAAAAUGGAAACGUCUUAUUGUCGUUUUGAAACCACUGACAAAUUAACAACACGCAUCAGGCCGUAGCUGCUUGGAAUCCACAUGGUAGCAAUCCAGCCCAAGAAGCACAGCCUGUCUGAGCUAAUAGCUCGGCUGUCCUGAGGCGUGUGAGCACCGAAAAGAGUUCAAAAAACAGCCACGAAGGGGGGGACACAUGGACGGGGGGGGGGAGGAAAAAACAAACCUGUGAUUGGUGGAACCGGCCAAAAAUGAAGGCGAGGGGAAGUGAAUGGUGCGAUAGGAAGAGCGUGUCUGGACUCUUCCCGGCCUGCCUGAGCUGCGCUCUUUGAAGUGCGUGCUUGCGACGCGUGUGCGCGGCGCUCCGACGAGACUCGCUCCAGAUCUCCUCUUUUCAGACCAUCAUCUCGGGGGUUUAUGGACUUUGUGCCUACUGGUUUUCUCUUCCUUUCCCCAUUCAUAUUCUUUCUCUGAUCUCUGAUCUCUCCGUGUGCCCCCCCCCCCCCUUCCCCCUCUCUUCUUCUUCUUCCCCUGCCUUCUAUCACACGCCAUUUUCCAUCCUCUGUGCCGCACCGGCCUCCACCGCGUUCCAAGCAGAUGUCAGAUGCGUGUGCGCGUGUGAUACGGAGACGUAGCUGCAGAAACGGGAAUCACACCCGGGUUUUCUCAUAGACUUUCUGUCUGAUCUCCCCGUAGGCCCGUUUGCUUCCUCUCAAAACAACACGUGGCGGGUUCAGGACCUCGCAACUCUCCUUCAGGCGCAAAAGGAACAUUUAAAGAAGAGAAGGCCGGCGGGACGGACAAGGGUAGAGGCCGAGAGGCGACUGCCUCCAGCGGCUAAUCCGUAUCCGAGGUGCGCAGGUUUUCGUCGAAAAUCUCUUUAUAUAAGGAAGGAAGAUCGGUUCAAAUAACCUCGUCCCAUCAGACAUCAACCAGUGUGACGUGUACGUGUACAAAGUAAGCUCAGCUCCGACGUCCCGCACGCCAAGACGUUCGCGAGGGAUUUCAAACAACAUAAAAUCCAAACGCUUGAGGGUAAACAGGAGAAACAACAUAAAUGGUCCUUGUGGUGCUCCCAACCCACUUUUGCAGACACACACCUGCACACUUACAGCUGGUAAGUGGUGCAAGGAAAACCAUGAACUUCCUGGGAAUUGUGUGGACAUUCUUCUCUGGAAUCAGCUUGACCUCAAGGAACCGCUUUGGCAAGCGGGUCGAAAAAAGACGGGGAGGCGCAAAGUGAGAAGUAUACUAUUGAGACUGCGAGCCGCCAGGCACGCAGGGACCCUGCAGCAAACCCUGGCAUUGAUUGCGACCAUGUGCACCCCUGGUGGAGCAGAUCCGUCCGCAGGAUAAGGCAUCAGUUGGUGUUCUCUCGAUGGGAACAAUAGCGCUGAUUUGAAAAUGCCCUGAAAUAGCCACCAGCAUUUUCUUCGACUUAUUUGUGAGCGGUGACGGAGCCAAAGUCUGGAGCUGAGGCAGAUGGAAGCAGCGGGAGAUGGAGCUCGGGUGAAUCAAUAAAGGCAUCAUGAUAAAGUCAUCGGGAACAGCGAGGAAUUACAGAACGAUGGCCAACUGACUUGUUCUUCUUUUCCUGGUCCAAUGUUUGUAUUCUGAAAACCACAUGUCUGCAUCGCGUCCUCCUAACCGCCGACUUUUGAGACUCUUUUUAAUCGGACCGCUUUUCAGUGAAAGGGUUUCUUAACGUGAAUCUGAAUCAAAACAGCACGUAACUUAUCUAGAGACGGGAGGUGCAUUUCUUUUGACAUUGUUCACAACUCAAGCUUCUGUCCAAACAAAGUCCACCAUAGCUUUUUUUUUUACCAUUUAUACGAAUGAAUCAUGCACCAUGAGUCACAGAAUUGAUAUUGGCCUGAAUAGCGGAAAAUACAUUUUAAUCAAUUCUCGUACAUUGUGAAAAACAGCUUCUAAAUGCUGCUGUCUAUUUGUCUGACUCACAGUGCUGUGGUCAGUCUGGACUUCACCGCCACUUAAAUCCCCUUAUGGUCAUGACUGCUACUUAAUAAUGCCCUUUUACAGACGGAGGACUCGGUGUUCUCACAGGGCCGCCGGGCCAGCUGCUGCUAACCGCUUUAAGAACAUCUUUGACUUCCCGAUAGCAUGCCAGUGCUACGCUAGUCAAACAGCGUUUACCUUCUACGUUGCACGGGCCUGUAUUUGCCUUUUUUGCCAAUGCGGCGGGACAUAUGUAACUAACUAUAGCGGGUUUGCCACAUAAUGACUCUUGACAGGUCAGCUCCGGUUUAUUUAGGGUGGUCUACAUAUACAUUCAAAGCGCCAGCUAAAUUUAAAGUGUGUUGACACCGAACACACACACACAACCCCGCUCACCUUUUACUGUCCUUCUCUUUAGAUAUACGGGCACACACACACACACAAACGCACACAGAAAUGCUCGGUAUGUUUAUAGCCUGUGAACUUUUAGGGCACAGACAAAUGCUCUUUGUGCUUAUGCGUUCGUGUAAACAUCUGCAUUUGCACACUCGUGCUAAAGUGUGACAGUAUAAACUCAUUAGCAGGAGAAUUUUUCCUUCUGCCGCUCAUACGCAUUCGGUCCCACGCGCGGUUUGUUUGACAGGCGCAUCUGCCGCGAGUGGAUGUCUCAAGGUAUUUCCUUUUCUGUGCCUGUGGGCUAUUCGAAACACUAAAGGACGUCGAGGAUGUGCCUCCUCAGUGUAAAAGAUCGGCUGCUGCUAGUUAUCACUAGAGGUCAGAUGAGAUCCGGUGAGGUUGCGUAGCAUGAGAGGCCACCUUCACUUGACCGCCGCUCAUUCUCAUGCUAACCAGGAUCAGAAGACUCGCUGGCAGCGACGGACUUUAGCGUCUUCUCGCUCAAUGUUUGGGUUUUACAGCCGCUGUACAUCAAUCUACCUACACGUGUGUCUCAUCUACCGGCCGGGUAAAUAAACUCUCAUGCUGAAGUUGACUUAAGUCAAUAAGCCGGCGUAGCAAUCAGGGCGGUUUUUUUUUUUCCUCUUCUGCAUUUCAUGCCGUAAUUACCACCUGGGCCCGACGUAACUGUUAAACCAGGAAGGACCCCGCGGCGCAGCUGUCGGACCCCAAAGAUGACCUCACGGGGGCGACGUCACAGCGGCCGCCUCGGUGAGCCCCUCCGCUCUCCGCUACUGCUACGCGCAGAC
ensembl:lncRNA